rnacentral:rRNA from 1 species
AGAGUUGAUCAUGGCUCAGGACGAACGCUGGCGGCGUGCCUAACACAUGCAAGUCGAACGGACGAGGGGAGCUUGCUCCCCAAGUUAGUGGCGGACGGGUGAGUAACACGUGAGCAACCUGCCCUUCGGAGGGGGACAACAGCGGGAAACUGCUGCUAAUACCGCAUAACGUAUCUGGGAGGCAUCUUCCGGAUACCAAAGAUUUUAUCGCCGAAGGAUGGGCUCGCGUCUGAUUAGAUAGUUGGCGGGUAACGGCCCACCAAGUCGACGAUCAGUAGCCGGACUGAGAGGUUGAACGGCCACAUUGGGACUGAGAUACGGCCCAGACUCCUACGGGAGGCAGCAGUGGGGAAUAUUGGGCAAUGGGGGGCAACCCUGACCCAGCAACGCCGCGUGGAGGAAGAAGGCUUUCGGGUUGUAAACUCCUUUGACGAGGGACGAUAGUGACGGUACCUCGAAAACAAGCCACGGCUAACUACGUGCCAGCCGCCGC